rnacentral:rRNA from 1 species
GACGAACGCUGGCGGCGUGCCUAAUACAUGCAAGUAGAACGCACAGUUUAUACCGUAGCUUGCUACACCAUAGACUGUGAGUUGCGAACGGGUGAGUAACGCGUAGGUAACCUGCCUGGUAGCGGGGGAUAACUAUUGGAAACGAUAGCUAAUACCGCAUAAUAUUGAUUAUUGCAUGAUAAUUAAUUGAAAGGUGCAAUUGCACCACUACCAGAUGGACCUGCGUUGUAUUAGCUAGUAGGUGAGGUAACGGCUCACCUAGGCGACGAUACAUAGCCGACCUGAGAGGGUGAUCGGCCACACUGGGACUGAGACACGGCCCAGACUCCUACGGGAGGCAGCAGUAGGGAAUCUUCGGCAAUGGACGAAAGUCUGACCGAGCAACGCCGCGUGAGUGAAGAAGGUUUUCGGAUCGUAAAGCUCUGUUGUAGGAGAAGAACGGGUGUGAGAGUGGAAAGUUCACACUGUGACGGUAUCUUACCAGAAAGGGACGGCUAACUACGUG